UGCGUAGGCGGAUCAAUAAGUCAGUGGUGAAAUCUCUCGGCUCAACCGGGAAACUGCCAUUGAUACUGUUGAUCUUGAGUUCGGUUGAGGUAGGCGGAAUGUGUAAUGUAGCGGUGAAAUGCAUAGAUAUUACACAGAACACCAAUUGCGUAGGCAGCUUACUAGACCGACACUGACGCUGAGGCACGAAAGCGUGGGUAGCGAACAGGAUUAGAUACCCUGGUAGUCC
rnacentral:rRNA from 1 species